AGCAGAUUCGAUCAGUUUCAGCUAGCUGAACAUGCCUCGACUUUUAUUGUUUCCUACUGACUAGAUCUAAACUGAGAAUACUGUAAAGGGUUUUAAACUAUUACACCGUGGUAUAGCAGAUGUCAGAAGACUGAGAAAGGAGUGACAGGUGAUAUGGGCCCCAGAGGACCCGAUGGAAAGAAGGGUGACAUGGGCCACAUGGGUGUCAUUGGUCCCAGGGGAUUUCCGGGACAGGAUGGGUCGCCAGGCCACCCAGGCCAACCGGGCCAACCGGGAUAUCCUGGCAAACCUGGUAAGCCUCCCUCAGACGAACAUCUUGUAAAGCUCUGCACUGAUGUUCUGCGUAACCAGCUGCCAGCAUUGCUGCAGAGCCUGACUCCUCACUCUAGGUGUGAACCCUGCCAGGGUGUGAAGGGUCCUCCAGGUGAGCCAGGAGCACCGGGACCCAAAGGCUCCAUGGGAACUCCAGGCUACCCUGGCAGAAAUGGGGCUCCUGGUUACCCAGGACCUCCUGGAAUACAGGGCCCCGCAGGCCUCAAAGGUUUGAUAUGACACAGUUUCUUAAGGUACCUUCAGACAGGUUUAUGUUAUCUGUACACAAAGCUUCCUCUCACCAAUGUUAUAUCUGCUCCAUUGUGACAAAAAGCUCCAUUCUGGCUCCUCACUCUGAUGAAAACAAGGCAAUAAGUAACAACACACCAUCACAAAGAAGCGAUGGGACAAAAUUUACGACCGCUUUCAUCAACAGUUAAAAUCAAAACAGUGUCAAUGAUGAACAAAUUGGAUGUGUUGAUGUUCACUGUACCCCAUAAAACAAGAUCAUUAAACAAGCGAACAUCAGUGAAAGUCAGCAGAGCAAAAGACAACAAAUGCUCCACACCCAUCUCAGUGAGCUGUCUGUGAUUUAUCACCACUUCAACACAGAGAGUGGCUAAUCAGCUGUGGAAGAUACCACUCCACUGCUGUGUAGCAUUUUAACUUGUUAGGCCAGCCAUGCAGCGACUGUGGAGGAGUCAGAGUUGGGUGAGAACAUUACGGUGCCCUGGAUGUGCACAUAUCCAGUGUACAGGUAAUUGUACAACUGUCAGUAAUAGUUUAAUUCAUUUUAAGUUUAUUUAUGUAUCACCCAUUCACAAUUUAGUCAUCCAAAGGCACUUUGUAGUUGGAUGAAACUUUUUCUGUGGUUCAGUGCUGCAUAAUCAGGGUCAGCCAGGUUUUUUGCACAGUCAGUUUAUGUAUGUGGACACUUUGCUGUAUAGUUCCUCUGACAGGGAGGUGUGAUAUUGCAUACUUCUGAGGCAAAGCUACAGUGUGUUUAUUCUGCUAGUUUGUUGCAUGCUUGUCACACUUCAGAUCAUCAAAUACAUUUUAAUAUUAGACAAAAAUACCUCGAGUAAAUCAAACUAACCUAACGGAAGUAUGACAAAUUGGUACAAACCAUACUGAGUGGAGACGGCCUUUUUCUUCCUGGACUCUGUAAACAAGGGAAUCUGCCAGGAGCCCUUGGUUAAGUGCAGUGUGAUAAAAAAGCGAGCUAUGCCUAACUGAUCCAGGAACUCGUUGACCCGGGGUAUGGGAUGAGCAUCAGACUGUGACACCUUGUUCACCUUGCCGUAGUCAAUACAGAAUCCUAUAGACCACAAGAACUAUGGAGCCACACCGUGCACUGUCUGACUCUUCUAUUACCCAUUUUUAGCAUUUCAGCCCUAUGAGUAAUUUGUAUUUUGUGCUCAGGUAACCGAUAGGGCCGUGAACGUACUGUCACGCCAAGGCUCUCUGGGCCUGUGUGAAAUGUCAUUGCAGACAGGGAAUGGUGGAGUUUGGAAAAUCCACGUCCCAGUUCAUCUCGCUCCUUAAGAGAAACAGUUUGAGCCUCUCUCCAUGCUUUGAGGAGGUUGCUAUAUCUGUGUGGCUCCUCCCCUGACCAACUGUACCACCUCAUAUUUAAUGUCACCCACUCGCCGUGUGACCACAAAUGGUCCUUGCCACUUGACCCCACUUUUCAUUAUUUAUUUGUAAUAAAUGUUUGGAAUCAUGUAUGAUUUUCGUUCCACUUCUCACGUGUACACCACUUUGUAUUGGUCUUUCACCUGGAAUUCCAAUAACAUUGAUUCGUGUUUGUGGCUGUAAUGUGACAAAAUGUGGAAAAGUUCAAGGGGGCCGAAUACUUUUGCACGCCACUGUAACUUUGAGCUGGAAGAAAAGAGUAAUACAAGCACUUUGUCUCCCGGUAAAGAUUGCCUGAAUACAGUCCCCUCUGUUGUACAGGUCCUGCUGACGUUCCUGGGCCUGGGACAAAUUCUCUUGUGACAAACGUGUGUAGUUUUGCUUUCAGGUCCAGAAUAUAUUGCGUUUCAUUUUUAGCUGGGCUCGGACCUUCCUCCCUGUUUUCUUUAAUUAGGUCCAUGUGGUGGGGCGUGGUCUGCGGUGCCACUGCAGGGGAGGCGGAUGCACCUGAGUGGCAUGAAAAGUCUGUACCGAAUCCUGGUUAGUGCUGUUGUUGCUGUUGGUGAUGUGUUCAGCUGGUGCCUGAAAAGCUGCAGCUGCACCUGUGUUUGUGAACAGGAACCGUGUGUGUCAAUAAAAGAGAUGCUGAAAAGCAUAGAAACAUCAUCAGGUCUGCCAUGGAUAUGUUACAGUCCAACAUCCCCCACAGCUUUCUGCUGAACAGUAACAUAAAGGGAGAAAAUCCUGUGGAGGCCUGGGAACCUCCCACACUGCGAACAACAGAGGGUCUAACCAACUAUCUCAGUCACAUUCAUCCUCAUAAAUGGACUGAAGAAUCAUGGAUUUCAAAGUCUUAUUUAGCCACUCCACCAACUCAUCAUUCUGAGGGUGGCAGAUGCUGAACAGGUUCAAUCCCCAGAUUUAUGCAGUUCCUUUAUUGUGCGAAACAUGAAUGGUGUACCCUGGUCAGUCAGUAUCUCUUCUGGGAUGACGACUCGGGAGAUGAUCUGAAACAGCAUCUGUGCCACA
ensembl:lncRNA